rnacentral:misc_RNA from 1 species
GUGAAUCAUCGAAUUUUUGAACGCAAAUUGCACUUUCUGGUAUUCCGGAAAGUAUGCCUGUUUGAGUGUCAGUUAAAUAAUAAUCGGUGUUAUUUCUAUUAAUGGUGAUGCAUCGGAAUUGAGUCGUCUUUACAUUUGGUUUUAUGUGACUUAAAAUUAUGUACGAUUUAUGAACGUAUUUCUAUUCUUUACUUACGCUCAUGAUAUCACAUAUUUGGUGCGGUCAUCCACAUGAUUACUCGUGUAUAAUUUUUCAUUAAUUGAGUUCAAAUCAGUUAAGAA